rnacentral:tRNA from 1 species
GGGGAAGUAGCUCAGUGGUAGAGGGUAUGCUUUGCAUGUAUGAAGCCCUGGGCUCGAUCCCAGGCACCUCCG